CUACGGGUCGCACCAGUGGGGAAUAUUGCACAAUGGGCGCAAGCCUGAUGCAGCCAUGCCGCGUGUAUGAAGAAGGCCUUCGGGUUGUAAAGUACUUUCAGCGGGGAGGAAGGGAGUAAAGUUAAUACCUUUGCUCAUUGACGUUACCCGCAGAAGAAGCACCGGCUAAGUCCGUGCCAGCAGCCGCGGUAAUACGGAGGGUGCAAGCGUUAAUCGGAAUUACUGGGCGUAAAGCGCACGCAGGCGGUUUGUUAAGUCAGAUGUGAAAUCCCCGGGCUCAACCUGGGGACUGCAUCUGAUACUGGCAAGCUUGAGUCUCGUAGAGGGGGGUAGAAUUCCAGGUGUAGCGGUGAAAUGCGUAGAGAUCUGGAGGAAUACCGGUGGCGAAGGCGGCCCCUGGACGAAGACUGACGCUCAGGUGCGAAAGCGUGGGGAGCAAACAGGAUUAGAUACCCCGGUAGUC
rnacentral:rRNA from 1 species